AUAUCGGACAAUGGGGGCAACACUGAUCCAGCCAUGCCGCGUGUGUGAAGAAGGUCUUCGGAUUGUAAAGCACUUUAAGUUGGGAGGAAGGGCUUUAGGUUAAUACCCUGAAGUUUUGACGUUACAAACAGAAUAAGCACGGGAGAACUCUGUGCCAGCAGCCGCGGUAAUACAGAGGGUGCAAUCGUGAAUCGGAAUUACUGGGCGUAAAGCGCGCGUAGUUGGUUCAGUAAGAUGGGUGUGAAAUCCCCGGGCUUAACCUGGGAACUGCUUUCAUAACUGCUGAGCUAGAGUACUGUAGAGGGUAGUGGAAUUUCCUGUGUAGCGGUGAAAUGCGUAGAUAUAGGAAGGAACACCAGUGGCGAAGGCGACUACCUGGACUGAUACUGACACUGAGGUGCGAAAGCGUGGGGAGCAAAC
rnacentral:rRNA from 1 species